rnacentral:misc_RNA from 1 species
GAUGAAGAACGUAGCGAAAUGCGAUACGUAAUGUGAAUUGCAAAUUCAGUGAAUCAUCGAGUCUUUGAACGCACAUUGCGCCCCCUGGUAUUCCGGGGGGCAUGCCUGUCCGAGCGUCAUUGCUGCCCUCAAGCACGGCUUGUGUGUUGGGCCCCGUCCUCCGAUUCCGGGGGACGGGCCCGAAAGGCAGCGGCGGCACCGCGUCCGGUCCUCGAGCGUAUGGGGCUUUGUCACCCGCUCUGUAGGCCCGGCCGGCGCUUGCCGAUCAACCCAAAUUUUUAUCCAGGUUGACCUCGGAUCAGGUAGGGAUACCCGCUGAACUUAAGCAUAUCAAUAAGCGGAGG